rnacentral:rRNA from 2 species
UCUGGUGAUGAUGGCGAAGAGGUCACACCCGUUCCCAUGCCGAACACGGAAGUUAAGUUCUUCAGCGCCGAUGGUAGUCGGGGGUUUCCCCCUGUGAGAGUAGGACAUCGCCAGGC